rnacentral:misc_RNA from 1 species
CCGAGUUAGGGUCUCCUCCGUGAGGCCCGACCUCCCAACCCUGUGUCUAACAAACCUGUAUGUGUUGCUUCGGCGGAACGGCAGUCGCCCACCACCACCAUUCCCUUCACCGGGGACGGAGGAGGAGGGAGACCGUCGCCGGGGGGUUCUACGCGGUCUCACGACCGUUCCCCUGGAGAGCGUCCGCCGACGGCCCCAACCAAACAAACUCCCAAACCAAAAUUAUAGUGAAAACAAACUUCUGAAUCAGACCUUUUGAUAUACCAAUCAAAAACA